GUGAAUAUACUGGUGGUCUGGGAAGUUCCCAUGAGAGAAGUCACUCGGGAGGCCACAAUGUUGAGAACAUGCAAGAACCAAUCCAUAGAUGGAAAAGGUCACUGGGACAGUCCAAAACUGUCUUCUUAGUAUUCACCUAUUCUCUGCCCACUGCCUCAGGAACCACUUAAAAUAUACCUGCAGGUCCAGCCCUGUUACAGACUCUGACAAGCAACAAAAAGAGAGAGCUCAGCCCUUUCUUCUGACCCUCUGGAACCUUCAUCCAUUAAUAAACUCCCUUCCCGACAAGACUGUUCUCUUUGGAAGGAAGUCACUAUGCACAGCCCACAUCUAAGGAGUGGAGAGUUAAGUUCCUCUCUUUGAGAGUAGAGCAUCUGCAUCAAUUAUUUGAAAUUC